UGAAGAUGCUUCCCAUGUUCGCACGCGCGGCUCGAAGGGCAUCUCUGUGUAAAGAGUAAAGCAGGGAGGGCCGGGCAUGUCAUUUAAAGAACGUGUUAUUUUCUCCGUGAGCAGUUGAUCCGCUCUCUGAUAAUGUUCGCAGCGCCGUGGUUCACGUCGGGGGUAUCUAACGGCAGUUUUGCGAGAGAGGGUGCUUCAUUUGUUUGUCAGGAUGUUCUGGCCUAUCGGUUGCUUUUAAUGUUAUUAAGUUGUUGAAAAACUUCUGCCUUCUACCGUAGCCAAAAAUGAACCGUUUGCCUCGUAGUUCAGUGGUUGUGGGCUGCGAAGAAGCGCUGAGUGCCACUCAUCUGGCAGCAGAGACGAGUACGGGAUAAAAGCAGGAAUCUUGUUCAGAUUUCGGAAACCACAGAGCGAGCGGCAGACCGAGGCCCCGCAGCAGGAAGGCAGAUGAGCAUACACGUUAACGCUGCUAGGAAAAUUGGACGUGUUCAGUGAUCUUCUCCUCCUCGCCCCUCCUUAAUGUCUCCCUGGUGGAAACCCGCGAUUCCCUACAACUGCACUACGCUGUGUUUCUGGACCGUUAGACUAGGUGUCACUAUUGCUUUUCAGAGUGGCGGUUCUCUUCGCUGGUAAUCUUUGAAUGCAGAGGUCAGAAGUUUUCGAUCCUGUUGGUGGCGAAGGUCUGGCUCAUCUCAAGUCACGUGGCGUAUUUUACUAAUAGCCAGAAGUUGAGGGACAAGCGCGCUUGAAAGCGUGACGAGGUUCCUCUGUGAUAGGAGCUGUGGAUGUGCAGCCUGAGCUGUGAUCCAGUCCCAAGGCGUGUUUGCAUUUACUGGUAGAAGAGGUGGAGCAGCUUUGGUUUAGUUGAACAUCUGAGCAAGAAUGUUUCGGCUCCUGUGCGCGAUAACAGGUUUGGGACGCAGCUGCCUUGUCUUACAGUAGGAGAUUCCAGGAGCCCGUUUACCUGGGACUGAGUAUAUGCCAGGGGUGUCCUUUGAACCCUUGUGUGAACUUUAUGCUAUUUGUUAUUUCCAGGAACUCAAAGGUCUUCUCUGGACCAAACAAAUCAAAAAACUUCCUGCCUAGUGUCUAACAGCAUCGGGAUUUGAGGGAACCUUACUCAUUACGUAACGUUUUAGGGGAGUCUGCUUAAAGCUGAACGUUGCAUCUGGGAAUCCUUGAUGAUCAAAAUGUGGUGGAAGAAAUUGUGCGGUGGUGUUGGGUAAUUUUGUGUUGUGGAUCUAGGGCUCCUCCCAAGUCAGAUCUGCAGUGACAAGUCUAGGGACGGCAGCGAGAGGUCCAGCAGGUGCAAAGCCAGCAGAGGCAGUAUCUGUGCAGCCCUUGCUUGCCCCUCGGCCGCCAGGUCCAUUGGGGCCCGGAGGCCCCAAAUUCCACAGCUGGCUUCUGCAUGGCUCCGCCGCAUCUUCCAGUGGCCUGGCAGACUGGACAGGGAGGCUCUGUGGCCAGAUCUGGUCUGCGAGCUGAUCUGUGACACCUCUGGUCUGGAGCGGUGACUCUCAGCCAGGGUGCCGCGGCAUCCCGGGGUGCUGUGAAGUCCUUUCAAGGAUGCCCCAUGGUGCCGUGCAAUAUUGGCAGUGUUUGGUGUGAUGCACGAGAUAAGCCUGGAGGUUUCAAAUAGGAAUCUGUAGAAUCAAAACAUUGCUGACCUGUCGUGGUCUUCUGAGUUCUUCAUGACGGAGUCGGAGAGGAGUGGGGCUGGAAGGGACCUCCAGAGGCUGUCUAGUCCAACCCUCUGCCUGAGGCAGGAUCAUCCCUGUAGAAUAUUUGCUGUAUUAUUUUUCCCUAGUUAAAAAAAAAUGCAUGAAAGCUAAGAGCUGGCACUUUCUGAGGUGGGCCUCGAGUCUAAGGAGCUGAGAACCACUAAUGUAGAGUGAAGCACUUGGCUGUUUGGCUUUGACAUAGUGAAACUUGGUGGGGAUUUUUGCCCAGUAAAGCUAUGACAGACUGAAAAGUGUGGGUGUUGUCCUCUCUACUUGAUGGGUGGGACAUGUAUCUCAAGUUCAGUAUUUAGUAGGAUUUGGGUUGUACAUUGUAAUAAUAUUCUCUGGCAUGGAGUGUGUAUAGCGAAGAAAUCAAGAAAGAAAGUGUUUGUGUAUAACUGCUGCUUAUCAGAGAGAAAUAUUUGCCAGCUUUGUCGUUUCAGAUGUCCUCCCCCCCAGCAAUACUUCAUUCAAGUUUUCUGAAAUAAAGUUGAAUCCAUGCUGUGACUCGUUAGCUUUCAACUGCAUGCAAGUUAAAACUAAGUUACAAAACCUGGAAAAGGAGUUUACAGUGGAAUAUUAACAAUAACAAUAGUGGCAUUGGUGACAUGGCUGCAAUUAUACAUGGAUCAUAAUUUUUUAUGAGGCUAGCAUUAGAGCCUUAGAGGUUUGCUACUGGCUGGCUUGUUUUAAAAUUGUACUACAUCCAUGUGCUGGAAGGCGUGGCUUCCUUAUUAUGGCUACAGUUAUGUCUGAGCUGAAUACUACAGAUAAUUUAUUUCCUACACUUGCAUACAAAUGUUGCCUGUCUCACAGCUUCUCUUCCUAAUUUUAUGUUACAGAUUCAUUGCAAGACUGCCAGGAGUUUAAUUUGUGAAAUGCAGAUACAAAGCUCUGGGCUGUCAGUGGUCUCAUUAUUAGUGUAUGCGAGCGAGGCGAGCGAGAGUCUGGUUCUGUGUGUACAUGUGAAGCAAAACCUGGGCAUAUUGUAACCCAGGAUAUGUGCGCUUCAUACCAAGAGUGAAAAGAUCUAGCGCAUCCCUAGCACCAGUGGGAAACAAAGUCUAGGGUAGAGCCAUGACCGCCAGAUUCCCCCUAGAAGUUCCUCAGCUCUGUGGAGCAGCUGUCAUCUCCGGAGUGCUUGUCGCAGCAUCCUUGGGAAGGCCAGGCUUCUUACUUUGUCCUACGAGGAAGCAGAUGAUCUUUUGCUGGGGGGCAAGGAUGUUAUGUUCAACUUUUUCAGAGGGAGCAGUGAUGUAUAACAGAUCAUUGGAUGAGGCAGCGGUACGACUUUGCUUGUUUGCACUAUAAAUGCCAGAACUACUUGGCAUCGUGUUUCUUCUCUCGGCAGUAGUACUCGCUGUGCUAUACCUCCUAGAUGUGUUGGUGAAUUAACGUCGUGAUUUUUUUUUUCUCUUCUAGUUUUGCAGUGUGGGAGUUAAGAGUACUGAAUUGUGGAGUUUACCAGACCACAUCAGUGAGACACUUGGAUAACCUGUUGCCUUCUUGAGACACCAAUUCAUCUUUCUACUAUUCUUAAUGACUAGAGAAUAGAGGCAUUUGCUCUUUGACCCUUCACUUCAGGCUAACCCCCUUCCUCUCCCAACGGCUCCAUCCGUUCUUCCGUAGCACAACAUUUGACCACGUGUAAUCCAUGCCAUUUGUUUCAGAUGUGGAAAUGUGCUCUCAUUGCACUCUGUUGAGGGGGAAGGUGUGUGUGUACACAAUAUGCCUGGAGACUUUGUAGAUAUUGGUACCAAAGUUUACUACCUGCCCUGUUUGGUACCUCUUAACCCUUUGAGCGCCCCUCUGUGCAUAGCCCACAGGUAAAGUGACACAUCAAGGGAGUUUUAAUGCAUUCCUUACCUUCACAUUCCCUUUUACUGUUAUGGUCUGAUGUCAUAACAAGAUGAGCCUUCAGGGUGAUGGGAAGAAAAUAUAAUAUACAGUAGACCUUAAAAUGAGAUGUGUGCCAUUUAUCACUUGAGCUUUUUUCCCCACAGAGUGUUUUUGGAAGAAUGGAUUUGGAAGUUUACUAUGUAAACCUUGUUACCAGCUUUCAGUACAAAUUAGUUAGUAGCCAGAUCUUUUGGAUUUGCCUGUUUCUAUUCUUCUGAACAGCACAUGGACAUUGUGGUAUAGGGUUGAUCAUAAGCAUUGUGGCUUUGGCUUUGAGUCAGCAUGUGAGAGCUUGCAUUUCAAGGAAACUGCAGACAUUGACCCAAAGAUUUCUGAGACUUUAUUCAAAUUUCAGACAUAGUUAAGCCUGAAUUUUAAGCUUGCUGAAAUAAUACUUGUUGCUUUAGAUCAGUGUUUCCCAAACUUUUGAUACCCCUGGCACACUUUUUGGGUUUCAAAUUGGCAGCAAGCUUCACUCUUACACCCAAAAAGGUAUCUAUUUGUAAGACUUAGGCAGCGGUGCCCAAUUUUUUGGCCCUGUGCGCUGGAUCCAGUCUGUGUGCCCUCUUGGAAGGAUUGGCGUUUAGAAAUUUGGUGACAGGAGCAGUGGCCGUGUUAAUUGCCAUGGCUUCCCCGCUACCAAAUUUCUGAACCUAUGGGGAGCCCUGCAGCUUGGCAGGCUGGAUCUCAUGCAGAUGAAGUGCCACUUCUCAUGGCACGCUUUCGCUCUUCUCUGCAGCAUACUCUUUGGGAAUUGCUGCUUUAGAUUAUCUUAUGGCCAAUAGAUGCUGAAGCAAAAAGGCAUUUUGCUGGAGUCACAGUUGUGUUUGGGGAAAAUUUGGUGCUUUAUUCAUAAUCAUUAGACAUGCUUCAAGGCAGGGUCUUUCAGUUGAGGAGUUAUCUUUUAUGCUGUAUUGAAGGAAUAGCAAAAGUCCUUACCUGUGCUGCUUUCUCAAAUAGUCCUGUGCAAUGGUUGAAUAACAUUUUAGUUUGGUACUUAGUGAAGAUGUUCUCUUAAAUCUUUCAUCUAGAGCCCAGAAGGCUUUGUUGAUGGGAUAUUGAUACAAGAUAGACAUUGGGCAUCAUUGCUGAGGCCUUGUCUCUGAUUGCUCUUCUCAUGACUCAUAGGACACAGAGGAUGCUUCUGACAGAAUAGGUCAUCUUCUUUCUGACUAUUGGAAUUUGACAGCACUGUUGUAACAUCCUAAAGUGGCUGGCCAUGCUGUAUAAUCAUCUCUCUUUUUUUUCCUUUGAGUUGGUAUUGCUGAGUGUUUAUAGACAAGUCCCCUCAGUUGAGUCUCCUUCACAGCCAGUAAGUAAAAAGUGAAGACACAUGGGCAUCAUGUGAAAGGCAAAAAAAUAUCCUGUAUGUAAAAGAUGUGCUGCUUUUCAAGAAAUGCAUAGUGGAACUGUGAAAUGCUUUAAUAUAUUGAAAACAUGCAGUUAGUUGCUUCCCAAGACUUUCAUUGGAGAUCUGCUCAGCGGUAUCACGGUAUAGCUAUAUCUAUGUCCAGAAGGAUGUGGAACACCACUGCUUUGAUGUGCCUGGGUAGUUUUGACUAUUAAUCAGUUAUGUCCAUUUAAACGAUCAGGUUUUCUUUCCUGUCCCCGGAUGGUAGAUGACUCGGUCUUGCUUUCUAGAUGUUCUGCUUCCAGAGCUGGAAAGGCAGGAACCAGCUUACCUGAAGUGGUCGGCGUAUUGCUAGCACUGUUAUAUAGGGUCUGGGAGAAAUGUGGUUUUGUUUUUCAGUUGGUGAGAUUAAGUUACUGAAGUAAUGCACAGUUCUCUUUAACACUUUGGGUGACCCCCUGCUUCUGAAGCUGUUGUGGAAAGCGCUUCAGUCAGAAUGAAACCAUUUCAGUUUAGAUCAUGGAAACAGUCCUGCGUGCGUCUGAGUAUCCACAUUGCCCUCCAGCUGAGGUUUUCCGAAGACCAGAAUUCCUUAUGAAGUCUUUAUACAGAGUUACGCUGGAAAAUGGUUUAUAAUGUUACUCCCAGGUCUUACUGGUGUCAUCUGCUAAUUCAUCUAAACAGAAGGCUUUGGCAGAUGAGGACCAUUCUAGACUGACUAGUUGUAAUCCAGAAGAACUGCUUAAAAUAUUCCUGGGGGACAGUCCCCAUCCAGGCCAGAAGCUAGCUUAUAACACAUAGGGCUCUUAGCACCCAUAGCCUAAGCUUAAGUGAUGACACGAGACUUCGUCCCAAAUGGCUAACGCCCAGCUUCUGAGCUAAGCGCCAAGGAGGACUGCUGCUCCCUUAUUCCAUUUGUUCAAUAAAAGCAUCUUCCUAAAAACCAGCUGUGUCCUCACUCCCUACUUGACUGCACCCCCACAUCAUCUCCCCAGCCCCUGGGAACCCAAAACUGUAUGUCCAAGCAACCCUUCCCCCACCUCUGCCUCCCCACUCAAGUCAGGCAAGCACCGUGCAUUUUUUGGUCAACUGCAAGCUACUGGAGUUUACUGACCUCAUGUUUAGGAGAAAAGGGGCAGCAGAACAGUGAAAACUUCCCCAGCUGCAGGUCACCCAGCCUCUGAGACCCUCAAAGCAUGGGUGCAAGCACUCCUUCCCUUCCUCCUCUCUCCCCAGCUGGUCGCCCUCUACACGGUCCAGCGGGCUGGAUGCUCACUCCCACGUGCUGGUGUCAGAGCAGCAGCACUUUCUGCACAGUCGUGAACUGGCUCCCAAUCGGUGUGGUUUGGGAAUGGGCGGUUGUGACGUGGGUUACUUCCCAGGCAGUGACACUUUGGAGUGGUUCGGUUGUCUUUAAGGGUGGACGCACGUGACACGUUCUCCGCUUGAGUGACUGCAGCAGGCUUUGUUGCUGACCCUGCAAAAAGUAAGGAUUAGAAAGUCUUUCCUUCAUAGAAGGCACAGACGUGAAGGUCUGUAUGGUUUUAAACGUCCUCCUGUGGUUAGGGGGGAGAAAUCUGUUCUAUUAUCUUGAUUGCCCUGGGCUUGCCUAGCGAGACGACGAGUUGAACAGUAAUGUGUUGGCAGUGUCCGGGGUUGUGUUCCCCCUCCCCGUUAUUGGAGGUAGAGAACCGUGUUGGUCUGAGGUUGGGCAGAAGGCAGGGCGAUGCGGCUGGCGCCUUGCGAAGGCCGUUCUUCAGAGAACCAUGAGCUUGCAUAAGCUGCGGCCUACUUGAGCAGUUAUGGUCUCCCUUGUCUGGCAAAGCUGAAAUUUAGCCAGGACUUGGUAUUUAACAAGCAACUCUUAAAGUAUGUCAUGAAAUCUCUUACAGCAACAGGUGAGUAAGGCUUGUUUUGCACGUUACCUGAAAAGUCUGCCUUAACAGAAGCCCAAUGCCCUAAA